UUCCGAGUUGAGCAGAAAUGGAGACCUUUCAUGCCCAACGUCAGCAGAAUCAGGAGAUUCAAAUGGCUGCCAAAGGGCAAGUGCAGAGAAAUGGAGUGCUAACUCUGUGCCUCCCUUCUCUCGACGAGAAAGAUCCUUUGUUCCUGGAGAAGAAGGAAAGUAUAAAAAUAAUCAUCGAUGGUUGUAAUUCAAAAUGUGUCUUGCACUCUGAGUUGAGUUAAAUUUAGAUCAGUAUUUCUCGUCCAGUCCAAAAUUUCCAUGGAGACUGACUUGCAGCUUAUAUUACUGAUGAGUUCUGCCACCUCGCUUUCUUUUAUUUCUUUAUCUUGUACUAUAUUUAAUAAUUUGUACUGCAUUGCCAAAUUUUGGCUGUGAAUCAUAAUUUAGUUAAUGCAAUUUGUGCUCUAGAAAAGAAAGGAGUUAAUAAUGCAUAUAUUCAAAUCAUUAUGGAUAUGUAUGUAGGAGUUAUAUUUUAUGUUUAAACACAGUGAUUUGACUAAGUAGUUUCCUAUUUCAAUUGGAUUACAUCAAUGAUUAGCAUUUAAGCCCAUGUAUUUUUGUUGUAGUCAGGGAUGUUCUUAGACAUUUGCAAGAGGAUGUAGCUUGGUGUAUGCUUUUUGUAGAUAAUAUUCUUCUUGUUGAUAGGACUAGAGAGGGAGUUGAACGAAAAGUUGAAUUA